CGAAUACGCGAAGACCUACCUAGCCUUGACAUUGAUUGAAUACUUUAGAGAUAGAGUAGUGCCCUUCGGGGAACAUGAAAACAGGUGCUGCACGGCUGUCGUCAGCUCGUGUCGUGAGAUGUUGGGUUAAGUCCCGCAACGAGCGCAACCCUCGUCCUUAGUUGCCAGCAGGUUAAGCUGGGCACUUUAAGGAGACUGCCUUCGCAAGGAGGAGGAAGGUGAGGACGACGUCAAGUCAUCAUGGCCCUUAUGGCUAGGGCUACACACGUGCUACAAUGGGGCGUACAGAGAGUUGCGAUACCGCGAGGUGGAGCCAAUCUCAUAAAGCGUCUCUCAGUUCGGAUUGAAGUCUGCAACUCGACNNCANGAAGCUGGAAUCACUAGUAAUCGUAGAUCAGCAAUGCUGCGGUGAAUACGUUCCCGGGUCUUGUACUCACCGCCCGUCA
rnacentral:rRNA from 1 species